rnacentral:lncRNA from 1 species
UAAUAAAGUAAACUCAAUGUGUACACGUGGCAACUUUUUAGAUGAAUGAAUUGUUGAUUUUGGCGGGGGUUUGGUAUUGAGAAUGAGUUCGUAUAUGGGUCUAUACAUACCCGAAUUCCUCUUGAUUCGGAUCCAUUAGAAACAAAAGAACCCCUUAUCCCUCUUUUGCAGAAACCCUAGCGUCAAAAUCUCUCAGCCAAUCUCUCAGCCAAUUCCUUCUUCUUCCCUUCAAUGCACAGCGAUCUACAAGAUGAUAAAGGCGUUUGGUUUAUGAUGUGCUUUUGAAGCAGGCAACUUUAGUUAAAGAUCAAGUUAUUGAGAAGUGAAGAAGUUUGUUCAGAGUAUGCCAAGACACUCUAUUUAGAUGAUGUUGCUUCAGUUGCACUCAUUCCAACUCCAGUUUCAGUUUCAACAAAUCCAAAGUGGCUACUGAACUCGCAUUAAAAUACAUUACACUUAGACCUUUCAGUUGGGAUCAAGAUACUGACAAAGUCAAUGGUAAUACCAACGGUUCUAGGAACAAAACCAGAAUUACUCUGACAAUUUAUGUGUUCUUUUGAACGAAGAUAGAAUCUUGAUUAUAAAAAAGAACUCCAAAUCUAAUGAAUCUGUUUGGUUUCUUGAGGUAAUAGUAUUCACAUUUAUUGAUCUUGAAAUGAUAGCGUUCGUUAGGUUUUAUUAGGUGGACACACAAUUUAGACGAGACCAAAAAAGUUUGAAACAAAAGUUGUUGCUUGGAGUGAGGGGUUAUUGGUAAUGCUGAGCGGCCCAUAGUAAUUAGUAGCCCGUGUAUGUCGGGUUUGUAAUAUGUCAAAAACGUUUUGUCAAGUGAUGGUUUGAUUUGAAUUCACUAAAUUUUAUGGUUUGCAAGUAUAUCAUGAAGAUAUGAAGAUGUUUUGAUGAUGAUACCAAGUUUAAACCACUAUAACUAAAUGAAAUUGUUCUGACUUAUUUAGAGAUGUAUGAACAAUUUAUAUAUUUUGUUUA